GGUUGUGGCUCAGUGGUAGAGCACUUGCCUAGCAUGCAUGACAUGCUGGGUUUGAUCCCCAGCACCA
rnacentral:tRNA from 1 species